AUGGUCAUAGAGAACCUGGCCUCUACCCUGCCUUUCAUCCCCUUUGCCCUGGUGGGAGUGGAAGCUGUGGUCCACAAAGAUUGAGCUUGAUUCCCCUCUAUGAACCUGGGAGACUCACAGAGAUGCAGUUGUCCAGCUGUUGAUGACAUAAGCCUAUAACAAAAGGGAGAUGCCCAUUUAUGGCAGCAAGCAGAAAGCAGCUGAAGAAGCUGAUCAUGAAGGGUAAAUAUGACAUUCACCCUCAUGUGUCAAGGGAAUACAGAGCCUCAUCAAUGAAAUCCUGACAGUGGAUCCCAUGCAGAGGCCCACCAUACAGCAGUGUCCAGAAACAGGGUGGUUCCAGUGGAAAUGCCCAGCCCAGACAGAACCAACAGACAGGCAGAAGACCCUGAGCUCUGUGGAUGCUGAUAUCAUGGUGUGGGCGUGAGGUGUGCCAACUGGCUCAGGCCUCUCUGCAUGGAUUCCAGGCAGCAGCUCAUCUGCAUUCACCAGGAGUCUCCUGGGCAAC